CUCCUGUCUGGUUUUGACCUGUUUUGUUUGCAACAGGGCAGUUGUGCGAGACAUGGCCAGUCCACAUCACAAUGAUCUGUCGUUUGCAUGGGAGAAGUAUAUGGACUGUCGACUACAAGGAGCAGAUCUACAGGUCAGCCUCCAGUGCCUUGAGAACUUCCUCUGCCUCUUCCACUGUGUGCGUAAAGUCCACCUCCAUGUUACCCAGGACCUGCUGACCUUCUGGUAGGUUCCACCUUCAAUCUCUUCAGCCUCCAAGAAUAUGCUUAAAUGGGUACCGAAAGUAUGAUUUUAAAUUGAUAUUUGAGAAGACGUACUGCUUGUACGAUUUGCCCCCUGCGAACAAUGAGUGUUCACACACAAGGCAAAUUUGUGGAACUAUGAGUAAAGAAAAUCUUCAGAUACUACUACUAGUAAUUAUAUAUAUAUGGUACAAAUUGGACAAGAACCAAC
ensembl:lncRNA